rnacentral:tRNA from 1 species
GCCGAAGUGGUGGAAUAGGUAGACGCGCUGGACUCAAAAUCCAGUGCCCGUGAGGGCGUGAGAGUUCGAUUCUCUCCUUCGGCA